GACGAACGCUGGCGGCGUGCUUAACACAUGCAAGUCGAACGAUGAACCCGGAGCUUGCUCCGGUGGAUUAGUGGCGAACGGGUGAGUAACACGUGAGUAACCUGCCCUUGACUCUGGGAUAACUGCGGGAAACUGUAGCUAAUACCGGAUACGACCCUCGGCGGCAUCGCCAGGGGGUGGAAAGAAUUUCGGUCAAGGAUGGACUCGCGGCCUAUCAGCUAGUUGGUGAGGUAACGGCUCACCAAGGCGACGACGGGUAGCCGGCCUGAGAGGAGAGCCUGCCACGCUGGGACUGAGACUCGGCCCAGACUACUACGGGAGGCAACAGUGGGGAAUAGUGCCAAAGGGGCGCAAGCCAGAUGCAGCAACGCCGCGUGAGGGAUGACGGCCUUCGGGUUGUAAACCUCUUUUAGUAGGGAAGAAGCGAAAGUGACGGUACCUGCAGAAAAAGCACCGGCUAACUACGUGCCAGCAGCCGCAGUAA
rnacentral:rRNA from 1 species